AUGACAAUCAAAUGCACAUGUUUAUCCUUGUCAAAGUUUCUAAUCCUGCUAUGCAACCUUGAAAACAACCUGUUCUGCAUCGUUGAGUACUAUCAUACAUCCACGGAUUACAUCAGAAAUUGUCUACACAGAAUCUCUACGGUGGCCAAAUUGCCGCAUUCAGUUUUUCUUAGUGAAAUUAGAGCUUCUAUUAUUAUCACUGCAUGUUCAAGUCAUGUUGAAAUGCUGCAUAUAAGGGAGCAGUACACCAGUGUUGAAAAAACGGAGCAGUACACCAGAGACAUGAUGAAGCCUAGUACAAGAUGCAGAUUGGCCGUGUGGUCUGCAGCCAUGUUCACAACUCUUUUUACAUAA
rnacentral:rRNA from 1 species